GGGUAUAGCUCAGUGGUAGAGUGCUUACUUAGCCUACAUGAGGUACUGGGUUCAAUCCCCAGUACCUCCA
rnacentral:tRNA from 1 species